GACGAACGCUGGCGGCGUGCCUAAUACAUGCAAGUCGAACGCAGUGGGGACGGGUGAGUAACACGUGGGUCACCUCCCAGCAGAGGGGAUAACACUUGGAAACAGGUGCUAAACCGAUACUGAUGGAUGGACCCGCGGUGCAUCAGCUAGUGGGUGUGGGAAUGGCUCACCAAGGCCACGAUGCAUAGCCGGCCUGAUAGGGUGAUCGGCCAAACUGGGACUGAGACACGGCCCAGACGCCUACGGGAGGCAGCAGGAGGGAAUCUUGGGCAAUGGACGAAAGUCUGACCGAGCAACGCCGCGUGAGUGAAGAAGGUUUUCGGAUCGUAAAGCACUGUUGUUAGGGAAGCGGUAUCUGACCAGAAAGCCACGGCUAACUACGUGCCAGCAGCCGCGGUAAUAC
rnacentral:rRNA from 1 species